rnacentral:pre_miRNA from 1 species
CAUAUAUUCCUCUGUCACAAAAUUCUUAUCUUAGAUUUAUUUAAAUACGGAUGUAUCAAGUCACGCUUUAGCAUUAGAUUUAUUUAAAUACGGAUAUAAGACAAGAAUUUUGGGACGGAGGGAGUAGAAU